rnacentral:rRNA from 1 species
AUUGAACGCUGGCGGCAGGCCUAACACAUGCAAGUCGAACGAGUGGGAGACGGGUGAGUAAUGUCUGGAAAAGUGCCAGAUGGAGGGGGAUAAAUAGUGGAAAGGGUAGAUAAUAACGUAUAACAUGAGACGCGCCCAGAUGGGAUUAGCUUGUUGGUGGGGUAACGGCACACCGAGGCGACGAUCCCUAGCUGGUCUGAGAGGAUGACCAGCCACACUGGACCUGAGACACGGUCCAGACUCCUACGGUAGUCAGCAGUGGGGAAUAUUGCACAAUGGGCGCAAGCCUGAUGCAGCCAUGCCGCGUGUAUGAAGAAGGCCUUCGGGUUGUAAAGUACUUUCAGCCGGGAGGCGUUACCCGCAGAAGAAGCACCGGCUAACUCCGUGCCAGCAGCCGCGGUAAUUC